rnacentral:misc_RNA from 1 species
GGGUCGGGAUGAGAGGUUCGCCAUCGCCGCGCCGCGGGCAGAGCCUCCCGCCGGCAGAGCCUCGCGGGCCUCGCGGGCCUUGAUGCAAAGCGCGAGCAUCGGGCAGCGCAGUGCAGCAUGUCCCCGCAGUCUGUGUGCGUUUGCAAGUGUGUGUGUUUCUGUGUGCGUGUACGUGAUUUGGUGGCAGCGCCCCGCCACAGUGAAGCAGUCCGUCGCCGCGGAGACUUGGACGGUGGCAACCGAUCCAGCGCCGCAAGGGACGUGACCAAGGUUCAAGCGUGAGUCUCAAUUGGAGCACGCAGGAAGCGUGCUUGCCGACCGGAGCUCCGCAGAGCUUGCUGCCCGUUCCCUGAGACCCUAAACUGUGACGUCAACAUUUAAAUAUCUCACAGGUUAGAUUCUCAGGUAUGGGAGGCUGCUUGCCAGCCCUGGACUACGAAAGAUGUAAUUUUCUAUAAUUUCAAUAAAUCUUAAACAGCCGUUUCCAUUUCAA